AUACGGAGGGUGCGAGCGUUAUCCGGAUUUAUUAGGUUUAAAGGGUGUGUAGGCGGGAGCCUAAGUCAGUGGUGAAAUCUUACAGCUUAACUGUGAAACUGCCAUUGAAACUGGGUUUCUUGAGUAUAGUUGAGGUAGGCGGAAUGUGUAAUGUAGCGGUGAAAUGCAUAGAUAUUACACAGAACACCGAUUGCGAAGGCAGCUUACUAAGCUAUUACUGACGCUGAUGCACGAAAGCGUGGGUAGCGAACAGGAUUAGAAACCCCAGUAGUCC
rnacentral:rRNA from 1 species